UACGUAGGGUGCUAGCGUUGUUCGGAAUCAUUGGGCGUAAAGCGCGUGUAGGUGGCUUGUUAAGUCGGGUGUGAAAUCCCUGGGCUCAACCCAGGAAGUGCAUUCGAAACUAGCUCGCUAGAAGAUGGUAGAGGAAGGUGGAAUUCCAAGUGUAGAGGUGAAAUUCGUAGAUAUUUGGAGGAAUACCGGUGGCGAAGGCGGCCUUCUGGACCAUUCUUGACACUGAGACGCGAAAGCGUGGGUAGCAAACAGG
rnacentral:rRNA from 1 species